UACGUAGGGUGCAAGCGUUGUCCGGAAUUAUUGGGCGUAAAGAGCUCGUAGGCGGUCUGUCACGUCGGCUGUGAAAUCCCGAGGCUCAACCUCGGGUCUGCAGUCGAUACGGGCAAACUAGAGUAUUGCAGGGGAGACUGGAAUUCCUGGUGUAGCGGUGAAAUGCGCAGAUAUCAGGAGGAACACCGGUGGCGAAGGCGGGUCUCUGGGCAAUAACUGACGCUGAGGCGCGACAGCGUGGGGAGCAAACAGG
rnacentral:rRNA from 1 species